AGCGAACGCUGGCGGCAUGCUUAACACAUGCAAGUCGCACGAAGGUUUCGGCCUUAGUGGCGGACGGGUGAGUAACGCGUAGGUAUCUAUCCAUGGGUGGGGGAUAACACUGGGAAACUGGUGCUAAUACCGCAUGACACCUGAGGGUCAAAGGCGUAAGUCGCCUGUGGAGGAGCCUGCGUUUGAUUAGCUAGUUGGUGGGGUAAAGGCCUACCAAGGCAACGAUACGUAGCCGACCUGAGAGGGUGAUCGGCCACACUGGAACUGAGA
rnacentral:rRNA from 1 species